UCCGGUUUGUCACCGGCAGUCUCCUAUGAGUCCCCGACAUCACUCGCUGGCAACAUAGGACGAGGGUUGCGCUCGUUGCGGGACUUAACCCAACAUCUCACGACACGAGCUGACGACAGCCAUGCAGCAUCUGUGGUGCACCCUCGAAGGUCACACGUUUCCGUGCGCUUGCAGCACCAUGUCAAGCCCAGGUAAGGUUCUUCGCGUUGCAUCGAAUUAAAGAACAUGCUCCGCUGCUUGUGCGGGCCCCCGUCAAUUCCUUUGAGUCUUAGCCUUGCGGCCGUACUUCCCAGGCGGAGAACUUAAUGCGUUAGCUUCGGCACCGCGGGGGUCAACUCCCACGACACCUAGUUCUCAUCGUUUACAGCGUGGACUAC
rnacentral:misc_RNA from 1 species